rnacentral:rRNA from 1 species
UNCUUGCUCAGUAACACGUGGACAACCUGCCCAAAGGUCCGGGAUAACCCCGGGAAAACUGGGGAUAAUACCGGAUAAAUCACAAGUACUGGAAGGUCUUGUGGUUGAAACUUCCGGGGCCUUUGGAUGGGUCUGCGGCGGAUUAGGUUGUUGCCGGUGUAACGUACCGUCAAGCCUGUAAUCCGUACGGGUUGUGGGAGCAAGAGCCCGGAGAUGAAUUCUGAGACACGAAUCCAGGCCCUACGGGGCGCAGCAGGCGCGAAAACUCUACAAUGCAGGCAACUGCGAUAGGGGAACAUCGAGUGAUACUCAUAUUGGGUGUCUGUCCACCCGUCUAAAAAACGGGUGUUAGCAAGGGCCGGGCAAGACCGGUGCCAGCCGCCGCGGUAAUACCGGCGGCUCGAGUGGUGGCCGAUAUUAUUGAGUCUAAAGGGUCCGUAGCCGGCUUUGCAAGUCUUUUGGGAAAUCCAGCGGCUUAACCGUUGGUCGUCCGGGAGAUACUACAUUGCUUGGGACUGGGAGAGGUAGGAGGUACUCAGGGGGUAGGAGUGAAAUCCUGUAAUCCUUUGGGGACCACCGGUGGCGAAGGCGUCCUACCAGAACAGGUCCGACGGUGAGGGACGAGAGCUAGGGGCACGAACCGGAUUAGAUACCCGGGUAGUCCUAGCCGUAAACGAUGCUCGCUAGGUGUCACAACAAUCGUGAAUUGUUGUGGUGCCGUAGGGAAGCCGUGAAGCGAGCCACUUGGGAAGUACGACCGCAAGGUUGAAACUUAAAGGAAUUGGCGGGGGAGCACCACAACGGGUGGAGCCUGCGGUUUAAUUGGACUCAACGCCGGG